GACUCUUUUCAUUUCGUUUUCUCUGUUUCGAUAAGGCUGAGGGGGAGCUCGAGCGGGGGAGCAGAGGAUGUGAUUCUCCCCGUCCGUGGAGAUUUCGAGAUCUCCCACCGCCUGAGCUUGAUCUCUCUUCCCUUUCUCUUCGCCCCCCUGUGUCACGGUUGGUUGUUCCUCUCUCUCUUGCGCGUGUUUGUUGUUCUGCUUGUGUUGUUCUAGAUCUAGGUCAGUUCAUGUCGCCCUCUCGCCAUCUCAUGCAGCCGCUGGUAUGUGUGAUUUGCUGGGCCUUGUGAUACACGCGCGCGUGCUCCUGUUGUAGUUUGUAGAUGUAAUUGUUGUUUUCCUUUUCUACGUAGAUGUAACAUGCGGGAUUCUGUAGGUGUAGAUGUAGCAUGCGGGAUUCCAUGGCAGAUUUCUGUAGAUGUAGCUAUAGGUGCUGGAUUUUCUAUAGAUGUAGUGUGCGGGAUUUCUAUAGAUGUUCUGCUCAUGUUCCUGUAGGUGAGGUUUGUACAGAUGCCUAGCUCUUUCCUGCUCAUGUUCUGAUGCUCCUGUGUGUAUUCCUGUUCAUGUACUAAGUACAUUUCGCCUCCUGAUUUGUUCUUGCGGGGUGUAGGUGUUUAGUUCCCCUUGUACCAUGUUUGUUUACUUCUUGCAGGGAUGGUUUGAGUUUAAUUUCAGUGUAAUUUUAUCUCAGCCUUUGAUGGUCAUUUACUCAGUUGUUGUGAUUGGAUUUGCAGUGUUAUUUUACACUGUAAUUCAUCUCAGACUUACAGUGUAAUUUUGUCCCAGACUUGCAGUGUAAUCUCAGUACUGUAUUAGUGUAAUUUCUUUCAGAUUUUGCAGUGUAAUUAACCUGAUUUUUGAACUGUAAUUUGUGCCAGUCUUUCAGUGUAAUUUGUCCCAGAUUUACAUUGUAAUUUGUUCCGGAUUUACAGUGUAUAUUGAGUGGAUAUUACAGUGUUAUUUGGUUGUAGUUCCAGUGUAGACUUACAGUGUAAUUUUAUCUCAGUAUUGCAGUGUAAUUUGUCCCAGAUUUAUGGUGUAAUUUCUACCAGAUUUAUAAUUUAAUUAACCUUUUUCAGUGUGGUAUUGAGUGAAUUUUCUAUGUUAUUUAAUUGUGAUUGCAGUGUAGUUCAUCCCAGCAUUACAGACUUCUAAUUGUAAUUCACCCAUUAAUUCUAGUGGAUUUAUAGUGUAAUUUGAAUGUAGUUUCAGUGUAAUUUACCCCAACAUUAGAGUGUAGUUUACCCAAUAAUUCGGUUGUUAUUGGAUUUUGAGUGGUUUUGUCAGUGUAUUUUAGGAAGGGGAGCCUUGGCGCAGUGGUAAAGCUGCUGCCUUGUGACCAUGAGGUCACGGGUUCAAGUCCUGGAAACAGCUUCUUACAGAAAUGUAGGGAAAGACUGCGUACUAUAGACCCAAAGUGGUCGGACCCUUCCCCGACCCUGCGCAAGCAGGAGCUACAUGCACCGGGCUGCCCUUUUUUUGUCAGUGUAUUUUAGCCCGUCUUGCACACUGUUUGCACAUUAAUUUUAUCUAUUUUUCAAUGUAAUUAAGUCUAGUUUGCUCAGUAAUACCAUUGGUUCCUAUAUACUAUUUAGCUAGUAUUCAAUGUUCCUUGCUUGGUUCAGUACUAUAGGGCGGUUUUCAUUUAGCUCACUUUAAUGUCUUCUUCAUUGAGGAAUUCAUCGUCUCCUUGUUCAAGUGAGUCUUCUGGUUCUUUUCUUUCUCCUUCUCCAUUCCUUUGACCCGUGCUUGAGUUCGUGUUAGCUGCUGCUCUACUGCGAUCAACAUCUUCAGGCACCUGCAACUUUUAGGGAUUUCUUUUAGUUAUUUUCUUCUGAAAUGUUAUGACUUUCUCUUAGGUUCAUCAUUGUAUUUCUGAAUUUUGUGGUGUGUACAUGUUGCAGAUUCAUGUUAUAGAACAGGUUUGUGUCCCAGGGAUUACAUUCUCCUCCCCCAUCUUCGCUUGCUGCCACUUCAUUAUGCAAGUUUGCCUCCAAUGUCUGCAAAUAUGAAGAAAAUUCCUUCAGAUUUUGUUAAUGAAAGAGGUGAAGAGAGAUGAUGGUGAGGAGUUUGUGUACGAUUGUCGCUGACCUGUUGAUUCCCCGAUCUCCCAUGGCCGCCUCCCAGAUUUGUUCUAGGCUGUUAGGUGAGAUCUUUGUAGUGGUUGAUGGCGAUUGGCGUGUUUUGUUGUGCAUGGGAUCGGACAAAUCGGGUCAGAUGUUUACCCGACCCGUUUAGACGACCAGGAGGUUUUUUUUGCUAUCUGCUGAUUUUCCUGCUCGCUCACGUGUAAUGUGUUGAUUGGUCAGGAAAUUUGACUGUUUUCAAAUUGAAAAACAGUCAAAUGUCAAAUAGACAGUAUUUUAAGACA